rnacentral:rRNA from 1 species
UACAGAGGGUGCAAGCGUUGUUCGGAAUUAUUGGGCGUAAAGCGCGCGUAGGCGGCUUUGCAAGUCGGGUGUGAAAUCCCCAGGCUUAACCUGGGAACUGCAUUCGAGACUGCAUUGCUAGAGUAUGGGAGAGGGAAGCGGAAUUCCGGGUGUAGCGGUGAAAUGCGUAGAUAUCCGGAGGAACACCGGUGGCGAAGGCGGCUUCCUGGACCGAUACUGACGCUGAGGCGCGAAAGCUAGGGGAGCAAACGGG